CGGCGAAAGGCUGAAUAACACCUUAAUAACUGCCCCCAACUCCGGGAUAACAUCUAGAAAAAGGUGCCAAUACCCGAUAGUCCCCAAAGGGGAAAGAUUUUUCCGGUUGGGAGGUGCUUGCGGCCCAUCAAUUUGUUGGUGAGGGAAUGGGUCACCCAGACUAUGACGGGUAGCUGGUCCCAGAGGACCAUCAGCCCGAAUGGGACUGAAACACGGGCCAUACUCCUACGGGAGGCAGCAGUAAAGAAUCUUCCACAAUGGGCGAAAGCCUGAUGGAGCAACACCCCGUGAACGAUGAAAGUCGAAAGAUCGUAAAGUUCUUUUCUGAGGGAAGAAAUCUGACGGUACCUUAAGAAUAAGCACCGGCUAACUCCGUGCCAACAGCCGCGGUAAUACCGAGGGUGCAAGCGUUACCCGGAAUCAUUGGGCGUAAAGCGUCCGCCAGUGGUUUAUUAAGUCUGAUAUUAAAUCUUGGGGCCCCAACUCCAAGGCUGUAUCUGAAACUGGUAGACUAGAGUCUUUCAGGGGCAAGCGGAAUUCUGUGUGUAGGGGUAAAAUCCGUAGAUACACAGAGGAACACCAAAAGCGAAGGCAGCUUGCUGGGAAAGUACUGACACUCAUGGACGAAAGCGUAGGUAGCGAACGGGAUUAGAUACCCCGGUAGUCUACGCCGUAAACGAUGGAUACUAGUUGUUGGAGGGCUCGACCCCUUCAGUGACGACGCUAACGCAUUAAGUAUCCCGCCUGGGGAGUACGGUCGCAAGAUUAAAACUCAAAGGAAUAGACGGGGACCCACACAAGCGGUGGAGCACCUGGCUUAAUUCGAUAAUGAGCGAGGAACCUCACCUGGACUUGACAUCCCGAGAAUUUCCUAGAAAUAGGAAAGUGCCUUAUGGAACUCGGUGACAGGUGCUGCAUGGUUGUCGUCAGCUCGUGCCUUGAGGUGUUCGGUUAAGUCCGUAAACGAGCGCAACCCAUGUCCUGUGUUGCAUUUUUCACAGGAGACUGCCGAUUCCAAGUCGGAGGAAGGUAUGGAUGACGUCAAAUCAGCAUGGCCCUUAUGUCCAGGGCUGCACAGGUGCUACAAUGGUCGGUACAAUGGGUAGCAAUACUGCAAAGUGGAGCCAAUCCACAAAACCGAUCUAAGUUCGAAUUGAGGGCUGCAACUCGCCCUCAUGAAGUUGGAAUCGCUAGUAAACGCGGAUCAGCAAUGGCGCGUUGAAUACGUUCCUGGGUCUUGUACUCACCGCCCGUCAUACUACGGAAGGUGGAGACGCCCGAAGUGCCCUUAGCUUUUAGCGGGGUCCUAAGGUGAAGCCACUGACUGGAGUAAAGUCGUAACAAGGUA
rnacentral:rRNA from 1 species